AACUCCCCAUACUCCCAUUAUACUACAUUCUA
rnacentral:tRNA from 1 species